rnacentral:rRNA from 1 species
UACGUAGGGAGCAAGCGUUGUCCGGAAUCAUUGGGCGUAAAGAGCGUGUAGGCGGCCCGGUAAGUCGGUUGUGAAAGUCAAGGGCUCAACCCUUGAAAGCCGACCGAUACUGUCGGGCUAGAAUCCGGAAGAGGCGAGUGGAAUUCCUGGUGUAGCGGUGAAAUGCGCAGAUAUCAGGAGGAACACCAAUGGCGAAGGCAGCUCGCUGGGACGGUAUUGACGCUGAGACGCGAAAGCGUGGGGAGCAAACAGG